AAUGUGCGUACAAAUGUUUCCAAAACUCCUCCAUGUAGCAAGAUUGCGACACGCUGAAAAGACACUUCCUUGCUCAUUUUAACAAGCUGAGCAUUCUCAUAGGAAACAAUGCGGUGACGUCAUCGAUGGCUUCUUCCAUGCAUUUCACGGUCUUUGGUUAGAACACCUCCCAGGAAUGGACUGGCAUUUUGAGAGUGAAUAGAAGCUUAUUAUGCAGAAUAGGAGGUUAUAAAGGCUUGUAUACCGUGUCACCGUCAUGUGUAGUAUGCUAUCUGUGAAAUGUUCGAGUGUGAUGAAACUUGUAAGUAGACUAGUACAAUGGAAGAUUACUAUUAUAUUGCACUUAUAAAAUAUGAAAACUUUGAAAUCAAUAAAUGUCUUCACAUUGUACUCGUCGUCAGAUAAUCAACCCCCCUCCAACCCAACUAAAAAACAAACAUUUUGGCACUGAGCAAAUUUCAGGGCUGCCUUUAGUAUAUAAACAUUCAAUAGAACAAUUUGAAAAGGGGCGUUUCUUUUUUUGUUGCUGAGUUUAGUCAUUUGAAUAACAUUUUUCAGCAGCUUGGUGGUAGUUGAACUAAAUCCAAAUAUGUUUUACCUGUGUAGUGGUGUAGCUAACUACUGGAACUACACACUUCUUGGGUGAAGACGCUUUGCCCUGGAGAGCUAUGGGCCAGUCAAAACCCAGCGUCCUGGAGCCCCUCUAGAACGCUGAACCAAUAGCGGAGCACCUCAGCCUCUGUUCCACCAACCUCAAAGCCCGCCCACUGGAGGUGCACCGUGGCAACCAGGAGAUGGACGCGCCCCAGAGUUCUGCAGAACCCUCCACUCAGCACUCCACUCAACCCUGAACUCAGCAGAUCGAUUUGGGAGGAAGAAAGAAGGAAAGUGUGUGUUUUACUCCCUCCAGUGGUUGCAGUUUGUAACUACAGCAGUGGUGUGAUUAACUGUUGCUAUGGCAGCCAGGGUCAGCUCUCAGUCCUGUUGUCAUGGAAACGAGAGUGAGCAGCCCUGUCUGUGAGUAUUGUGCAUGUUACAUGUGUAUAUCUGUUGUGUAUGAGAGUGAUUUACUGUAUGUGUUACCGUGUGGAUGUGUGAGUGACGUGUGUGUUACCGUGUGAUGUCCCAGAGUCUCCAUGAUGUCCUUGAGCGUCUGGGACCCGUUACCCAGAAUUGUCGGAACCCUCCGGAACAUUGUUACCAUGGCUACGGUAACCACCGCUGGCCCUGUCACCAUGGUGACCACUGGGGUCAAGUCUGUGGAUGAGGAACCCUGUAUUACUCUCAUCAGAGAGAGAGAGAGAUACUGCUUUAUAUUAUUACAUCGUUUGGGGAGGGAGCAUGUCAGUGAUGUUAUGAUAUUGUAUAAUGAUGGUAAUGAUAUAUUUGGUUCACAUAUACAUUGAGUGUACAAAAUAUUAGGAACACCUGCUCUUUCCGUGACAUAGGCUAUCAUCCCUUGUUGAUGUCCAUUGUUAAAUCCACUUCAAUCAGUGUAGAUGAAGAGGAGGAGACGGGUUAAAGAUGAAGGGGAGGAGACAGGUUAAAGAAGGAUUUUAAAGCCUUUAGACAAUUGAGACAUGGAUUGUGUAUGUGUGUCAUUCAGAGGGUGAAUGGGCAGGACAAAAGAUUUAAGUGCCUUUGGACUAACUCUGUGUGUGUGUGUGUGUCCUCACAGUCCACGCCGUUACAUGAGGUGUUGUUUAAUCGUUUUCUUAAAGGUACUUUUGCUGUUCGCUUGAGUAAUUGGAGAUGGAAGUUCCACGCGAUCAUGGCUCUGUAUAAUACUGUGAUAUUUCUAAUAAAAACGAGAAGAGAAGCAGUUAAUCUCUCUUCAACCCUCAACCAGGAAAGACUGACAUGCAUGUUGUAGAUGACAGGCAAGGUGUGCUGCUCUGUUCUGAGUCAGCUCCACCUUUGUUAGGUCUUUCUUUGUUGCACUUUACCAUAUUACUGGAAAGUAAUCAAGAUGAGACAAGACCAGAGUCUGAACAACUAGUACAGUAGAUUUUUGUUUAGAAAACACAGAGCAUCUUUUUUUAUAACAGACAGACCCCUCCCUAUCUUCACAACAACUUAGUCAAUAUGACUUGACCAUGAUAAUUGACUAUAUAAUGUUAUACCUGGGAGUUUAGCUUCCUGAACUUGUUCAAUGGUCACACCCUUUAUACACAACUACAGUGGAGGUUUAGGUCUUAGAGAAUGUUUUCAACCAAUCACAACGCUUUUAGCUGUCGAUGUAUUUAAGACCAGUCUAUUAUUAAUCACCCAUUCUGAUACUGACUGUAAC